rnacentral:rRNA from 1 species
CUGCUCCUACGGGACGCAGCAGUAGGGAAUCUUCCACAAUGGGCGAAAGCCUGAUGGAGCAACGCCGCGUGGGUGAAGAAGGUCUUCGGAUCGUAAAACCCUGUUGUUAGAGAAGAAAGUGCGUGAGAGUAACUGUUCACGUUUCGACGGUAUCUAACCAGAAAGCCACGGCUAACUACGUGCCGGCAGCCGCGGUAAUACGUAGGUGGCAAGCGUUAUCCGGAUUUAUUGGGCGUAAAGGGAACGCAGGCGGUCUUUUAAGUCUGAUGUGAAAGCCUUUGGCUUAACCGGAGUAGGGCAUUGGG